rnacentral:rRNA from 1 species
AACGAACGCUGGCGGCAUGCCUAACACAUGCAAGUCGAACGAGACCUUCGGGUCUAGUGGCGCACGGGUGCGUAACGCGUGGGAACCUGCCCUUAGGUUCGGAAUAACUCCCCGAAAGGGGUGCUAAUACCGGAUAAUGUCUUCGGACCAAAGAUUUAUCGCCUUUGGAUGGGCCCGCGUUGGAUUAGCUAGUUGGUAGGGUAAAAGCCUACCAAGGCGACGAUCCAUAGCUGGUCUGAGAGGAUGAUCAGCCACACUGGGACUGAGACACGGCCCAGACUCCUACGGGAGGCAGCAGUGGGGAAUAUUGGACAAGGGGCGAAAGCCUGAUCCAGCAAUGCCGCGUGAGUGAUGAAGGCCUUAGGGUUGUAAAGCUCUUUUACCCGGGAUGAUAAUGACAGUACCGGGAGAAUAAGCUCAGGCUAACUCCGUG